rnacentral:rRNA from 1 species
CUAAUACCGGAUAAUAUAUUGAACCGCAUGGUUCAAUAGUGAAAGACGAGUUUGCUGUCACUUAUAGAUGGAUCCGCGCCGCAUUAGCUAGUUGGUAAGGUAACGGCUUACCAAGGCAACGAUGCGUAGCCGACCUGAGAGGGUGAUCGGCCACACUGGAACUGAGACACGGUCCAGACUCCUACGGGAGGCAGCAGUAGGGAAUCUUCCGCAAUGGGCGAAAGCCUGACGGAGCAACGCCGCGUGAGUGAUGAAGGUCUUCGGAUCGUAAAACUCUGUUAUUAGGGAAGAACAAAUGUGUAAGUAACUAUGCACGUCUUGACGGUACCUAAUCAAAAAGCCACGGCUAACUACGUGCCAGCAGCCGCGGUAAUACUAGGUGGCAAGCGUUAUCCGGAAUUAUUGGGCGUAAAUGCGCGCGUAGGCGGUUUGUUUAAGUCUGAUGUGAAAGCCCACGGCUCAACCGUGGAGGGAUCAUUGGACCGUGGAGGGUCAUUGGAAAC